UGCGUAGGCGGCUGAAUAAGUCAGAGGUGAAAGCCUGCCGCUUAACGGUAGAAUUGCCUUUGAUACUGUUUGGCUUGAAUGGGGUUGAGGUUAGCGGAAUGUGACAUGUAGCGGUGAAAUGCAUAGAUAUGUCAUAGAACACCAGUUGCGAAGGCAGCUGGCUAGACCUACAUUGACGCUGAGGCACGAAAGCGUGGGGAGCGAACA
rnacentral:rRNA from 1 species